rnacentral:rRNA from 1 species
UACGUAGGGUCCGAGCGUUGUCCGGAAUUAUUGGGCGUAAAGGGCUCGUAGGCGGUUUGUCGCGUCGGGAGUGAAAACCUUGGGCUUAACUCAGGGCUUGCUUUCGAUACGGGCAGACUAGAGGUAUGCAGGGGAGGACGGAAUUCCUGGUGUAGCGGUGAAAUGCGCAGAUAUCAGGAGGAACACCGGUGGCGAAGGCGGUUCUCUGGGCAUGAUCUGACGCUGAGGAGCGAAAGUGUGGGGAGCGAACAGG